UCCGGUUUGACACCGGCAGUCUCCCUAGAGUUCCCGGCAUAACCCGCUGGCAACAUAGGACAAGGGUUGCGCUCGUUGCGGGACUUAACCCAACAUAUCACGACACGAGCUGACGACAGCCAUGCACCACCUGUAUACCGACCACAAGGGGGGCCGUAUCUCUACGGCUUUCCGGUAUAUGUCAAACCCAGGUAAGGUUCUUCGCGUUGCAUCGAAUUAAUCCACAUGCUCCGCCGCUUGUGCGGGCCCCCGUCAAUUCCUUUGAGUUUUAACCUUGCGGCCGUACUCCCCAGGCGGGAUGCUUAAUGCGUUAGCUGCGCCACCAACAAGCAUGCUUGCUGACGGCUAGCAUCCAUCGUUUAAGGCGUGGACUAC
rnacentral:misc_RNA from 1 species